GAUGAACGCUGGCGGCGUGCCUAAUACAUGCAAGUCGAGCGAACAGACGAGGAGCUUGCUCCUCUGACGUUGGCGGCGGACGGGUGAGUAACACGUGGAUAACCUACCUAUAAGACUGGGAUAACUUCGGGAAACCGGAGCUAAUACCGGAUAAUAUAUUGAACCGCAUGGUUCAAUAGUGAAAGACGGUUUUGCUGUCACUUAUAGAUGGAUCCGCGCCGCAUUAGCUAGUUGGUAAGGUAACGGCUUACCAAGGCAACGAUGCGUAGCCGACCUGAGAGGGUGAUCGGCCACACUGGAACUGAGACACGGUCCAGACUCCUACGGGAGGCAGCAGUAGGGAAUCUUCCGCAAUGGGCGAAAGCCUGACGGAGCAACGCCGCGUGAGUGAUGAAGGUCUUCGGAUCGUAAAACUCUGUUAUUAGGGAAGAACAAAUGUGUAAGUAACUAUGCACGUCUUGACGGUACCUAAUCAGAAAGCCACGGCUAACUACGU
rnacentral:rRNA from 1 species